AGUAUUAAUUUUAGACGUCGUUUUAUACAAAAUUUGAUAAAUUAAUUGCUAAUAAAUAGACGAGGAAAUUUAUGAUAAAUGCGUCCUUCAUACAAAAAACUGCACAAAAAGUCUAAAGCUGAACCGAGGAAAAAGAAUCCGCCGUUUAAUGGCCGAUAUUUAGGUUUUACCCAAGGAAUCACUAUUUCCGAUUUGGAAAACAUAAAUCGUGUUCUUUAUCUACGCAAAUCAACGUUAGCGGAAGGCAAAGGAUCUUGGAAGGUAGUGCCAAAAGAUUCAUGCGAAGUAUAUAAGAAUCGUAGACGUCGUCAGAUGGCUAUCCAGAAAAGAAAUAUCAAAACUAAUGAAAAAUGUCGAUGUAAAAAUCGACGAUCUCGCAACAAUUCAUCGCAGUAUUCAUAUUCUUGUGACAGCCGAACUGAAACGUCUUCUUCCACAGAUGAUAAUUAAUUUAUUAUAUAUUAUACAUUUAUUGUUUCUUAUCUCGCAAUGAUUAUUUAAUAUUUGAUUUUUUUUUUUAAUUUGUUUCCUCUUAAAACUUUCUUAUAAAAUAAAUCGUUAUAUAUAAUGAGAA